GAACCUUCAAUAAACCAACGUCCAAACCAAACUCCAUUAAAAAAAGUUACACUUUAACACCAUUUAACUAUCCUCGGUAAGGUCUGUGGUUUUUCUGAGGGACUGUAUUUCUUUUGUUUUCAGUUUUUCAACCAAACUCUAUUCAAAAAAGCAAAAGAGAACUGUAUGACGAACUGGCAGGGUGGAGAUGUCUGAGCAGGGUUUGUGAGGAGAUCUUGGUGAUGGUGAUGUAGCCCAGCUGGUGGCUCCUCCCUGACUCCACACCUGCAGACAAUCAUACCCAACCCAGAGAGAGAGAUCAGCUCCAAGGCAGACAGGUUAACAAGAAACAUAAAGUUCAAGAAGCAGAUGUAACACAGAUAUUAUGUCAGAUAUUAUGGAGCCAAACGUGUCGUAUUUGGAGAGGGGCUAUCAGGAACAAGUCAUUAUCAAUACUUUCCAUGGUGAAGGUUUUUGGAUCCAGGAUUUCAGUCAUUCAUUCAUUUGCUUUGCCAGGCCUUAUCUGAUGAAGGUCAUGGGGGGGGGGUCUGGAGUCAAUCCCAUCAUGCACUGCAGCAUGCAGGCAGGGUUACACCUUGCUGGGCAGGUGCCAGUGAAUCACAGGACUCAAAAACUAAACUGGAUUAUUUCACCAAGCUCUGCUUUGCUGUGCUGUGCUUUGCUGGACAAGUGAUUUGAGUCCAAUGAGCCUAUUAGCGCCUCUUCUCUUCUUCCAGCAGCAGCACCAGGUUUCCUCUCCUCUCUCCCUCUCCUCUCCUCUCUGCUGCUCCUCUUCUGCAUCCUGAGAGCCGACCAAACGCUGAGGGACACGGUGCCAUCGCUGCUUCGUGUUGUUGUUGGAUGUCGGAGACAUUGUGGACUGUUUUGUCUGAGAGAAACCCUUCAGCUGCAUGAUGGAGAAGAGGAGGAGGAAGAGGAGACAGUCACCGUGGAGCGGUGGUUAGGAUAAACCUAAAGGCCUAUAUGCUGCCGAUUUAUGACAGAACACCUGUAUUAUUAUUAUUCUCCAUGAUGGAGAAGAGGAGGAGGAAGAGGAGACAGUCACCGUGGAGCGGUGGUUAGAUGUGUCCUGGCAGAUGUGGUGUGAGCUGCAGACAGACUCUCUGCUGAUGGAAACAAACCUGCUUGUUGGUUUUGGAGGCGCACCGACCUGGUGGAGAAACACUGUUGUGCUUUUUCUUUUCCACGCUUGAAGUAAAUUGGAAGCGAAGAUUGAGUUCAUCUAGGCUGAACUAGCGGCCCUCCGGAGGGAAUAUGUUCUCCGGCAGAGCAGCUCAGAGCAGCUCAGAGCAGCUCAGACGAUGGGCUCUGAAAUGAAGAGUGUCAGGAGGACUGCGACCAGACUCCUAAUCCACCUGUCACUGAGACACACAUCCGGCUGAAACAGCAGCUCCUGCAGGUGAAGCUGCUGCGAAUCUGACUCAGACAUUGUGCCCAAUAAUAUCACUGCUGCAUGUGGUGGGGCUGCACUUUUUUACUCCCAUAUAGCUGCUCGUGACAACUCAGUGUGCCAUCUUUUCACUGUUUAAACUGAUAUAAGAGGGCUGUUUUUAAUGGGAAAUGAAUGGAUUGUUUUUUUGGGAAAUAUGUGAUAGAUAGAUAGAUAGAUAGAUAGAUAGGUAGAUAGAUGCACUUUACUGAUUGCAAAUUCUUGUGUUACAGCAGCAGGUUAUCCAGGCAAUGUACAGGAACAAUAAAUACAAUAUAUAUAGUAUACACAAUAUAAAUAAUAUAUUAGAAUAAACUACAAAUAUAUCAGACUACUACAACUAGCUAAAAAAUAUAUAAAAUAUGAACAUAGAAUAACAAUAAGAUGUUGACAGCUUGCAUAUACACCUAUACACCUACCUAUAGCUGCAACAUUAAUCGAUUAAUUGUCAAUUAAAUUAAUCGCCAACUAUUUUGAUAAUUGAUUUGAGUCAUUUUUGUAUAUGUAAAAGUCCAAAUUUUCUGA